ensembl:lncRNA
CCUGGUCCAAGUUGUCCCAGCUUACAAGUUGAAGCAAUGAGUUCUUCGAGCAUGCGCAACGUUGUUCAAAUGACAGCUGUUUCCUCUGACAAGCAGACCUUCACUGCCUGGAGAAACAGAUGCACAUGUACAGAACAUCUCGAAAUGAGAGAGUGAAUGAAAUUCCAGAACGUUCCAGGAAUAGAGCCUAGAGUUUACUUACAAUGAGGACAACUGUGGAUCAGCAUUGAUGAUAUCAGGAUCCUUCAGUUCGGUACAGCAGGGGAAGUGGUCCAUCUGGGGAUCCUAUCGUAAAGAGUAAGAGAUGAUCGGUUCGUGUGCUGCUUGAACUGAGGCGCUACAGAGAUCUGUCACAACAC